rnacentral:lncRNA from 1 species
CCGUCCACAAAAAUUGAUAAAAAGAUUUUGAUUUUAGAUGCAAUAAUUUUAUAUUAAAAUUUUUAAAUGCCUUAUGCUGCAUAGUUUAAUUUCAUCCAAUAAAACAAAUUUAUUUUAGCUACCCUAGAUUAUUGCACUGUUAAUUUUUCGAUGCUAAGGGCUGUUCCUAUAAAAUGAAUGUGGAUGGGUAUGAGAGGAUGGGUAUGUAAUCCUUCAACAACCUACAUAUAUUACCAUAAAUUACACGUCAUACAACCCAUAUCCAAAAAAUACAAAUUCCAAUAGAAUAGCCCUAACAGAAAAAUCAUUAAAAAUAAAUAAUAUUGCAAUUUAUACUGUGAUUUAAUAUUUCCAUGAUACGACAUUC